AUGGGCCGGGGAGAGAAGACAUUAGACGUGAGAGUCCAAGCCCUGUGGCAGCCUGUGUGUCUGCGAGCAGCUGGAAGAGCUCUGACCACAACAUCUGCGAGGAGCGAGGUGCAGCGCCCGUGGAGGUUUCACGAUAUCGUGGAGGAGGCACCUGGUCCGAGGAGGUUUGGCACCAGCUCUUUCUCAGGUGAGUUCUGCGGUGUGGCCUCGCUGCAUAAGUGAACCAUGGUACUGGCUGUAUGUGUGUUGUGCAGAACCACUGAGUUGAACUUGGUGGCUCAGCUCAGCCUCCCUGAGUUAUGUUGUGGCGUUUCACUGGAAUUGAUCUACUUUUGCUCCAGCAUCACUCUUGAUUGGGUUCAUUGACUCUGCGUUGGAGAAGGUUUCUGCUUCAUGCUGUGAUGCACUUUAAAGGGGUUUUUUUAGUUCUGUUUUUUUUAGAGUGUGCCCCCCUUUUGUCCACUUUGGAUUUCCUUCAGUGAUUACGUUUUUACAAUAUUUCCUUGCCCCAAUACGUUGACAUAGCAAGCAGAAUAUCACAACGGUUAGGGAAUGAUUGUGGUGACAUGCGUCCAAACACUGAUCAUCAGUUUGUAACGUGCAUUAAAUGUUGCUGGUUCAACGUUUUUGCACAGACUUCUGCAAAAGUGCUGUGUGUUUUCACAGACGGCUGACCCCCCGUCUGCACGUGGCCGUUUACGGCUCACCGUAAAGGAGCACGCUGUUAAAGUAAAUCUCGAGGUGUGAGGUCAUCCGACGCGAACACAACAGCUCUGUAUCUGCUAAAUGAUUCAGAGCGUUCACCGCUGACUGCGUCCACUGUGCGUGCUGAGCAGGCAGCGGUUCGCAGCACCACUAGUAACCGCUGCUUCGCGCCAGGCCAGCUGUUAUCUAAAGGUUGCAGGACAUCCGAACUAAUGCACGGGUUCACUUUGGAGCGUGAUGAACUGUGUCAAACAACUGCCUUGUUGCCGUGUAUACUUCCAACAUUUGACUUUUCCCACCAGAGAAAUGACACGCUCAAUGAAAACGUGCGGUUGCCUUUUGCUGGCAAUGACACCAAACAGCACACGUACCUUCUGGGCUCGUUUGGGGUCGGAUCUUCCAUAAUGAGCUGGUGUGUGUUCUAGGAAGCCAUGGAUUAUAGGAUUUCUUUUGUUCAUUUGUCUGCUCUGUUUUUCUAGCUAUCUUCACAUAGCUGCUGGUAAGGAGAAUAAAACUAUAGAGGUGAAUUACUGAGAACAAACGUACAGGCGUUGGAUUCAUGUUGUUCUUGUAAACUACUUUAGUUUCAUUAUUAAGUGUGCAACCGACUGAGAUUUGGUCAACCGGUUGAAGAAAGAAAGGUACCUUGAACUAUUAUACUAAAAGCCCCGGCUGUUUUUAUACCAAAAAGCACAUCUGUCAGCUCUGCUGCAUGUGUUAUUGUUGCUUGACUGAUGUGCUCCACCCGUUGGUCCCUUGGCUGCAGGAGAGAGGCUAAAGCUGUGCUGCGUUCAGAGAGAGAGAGAGAGGCCCCCACCAAUCUGCCACAAAAACAAUUAGCACCUGACACAUGAGUUACAAGACCCACAGGACGCAUAAAAAAAAGUGUCGUCAAUCACGUGACGUACUUGAACAUUUGCGGUUGAGGUGAAGGUGUGUUUGGGCGGCAGUGAAAGGGACUGAGGGCAAACAACACAAACUUACCGGAGGGUGUUGCACACAUUUUAUUUUCUAGGCAUCACCUUCGAUUCGAAGCGGACACCACUUUCAUUUCACCAAAGACUUUGUUUCUGAGGCAAUUUGAGAAAGUUUGAGGUGUCGGGGGAGAGGAUGUUUCUGUUCUACCAGGCGGAGUCGCCUCUUCAAUAACUGUUUGAUAUGACCUGAUCCUGAAACUUGAGAAUAAGCAGCCGAAACUAGUAGCACACAUUUUUUACUUGAAGUUACAAGUUUGCAAGAAAUUAUUGCUUUAAACCUCUGUGCCUUUUUAUAUGUUCCAGGAAAAUAUUUGACCGCUUUUCAUUCAUUUUUUUUAAUGCGUUUUGGUUUGAUUCUUGAAUGCCUUUUUUUAUGGAGCACCUUUUUAUAAAGCUUUUGGUGGUUAAUUUAAAGGCGAUGCACUUCCAAUUUCCAUCUACACCCAGCGCUUGUUUCGGCCAAAAUGCAAUUUCUAGAAAAUUUCCCUUUUU
ensembl:lncRNA